rnacentral:rRNA from 1 species
CUUAAGGUUAAGGAGUGACCCAGGAGGAUAGGCGGAUCGUGCCCAUUGGACAUGGUGCGUCGCUGGCCCGUAGGCGUCUGAUGAUAGGAAAAUCCUUCGUCAGGUUAAGCGGAGGGGUCGGAGCUAGGUGGAGACAUUGUCAAAGCCAAGUCCGUUGAGUCCACACUGGCAAGAAAAGCUUCGUAACUAGCACUGUUGGUGCCCGUACCGCAAACCGACACUGGUGGGCGGGGGUAAGUACCCUUAGGUGAUCGAGAUAACCCUCGUUAAGGAACUCGGCAAAAUAGCUCCGUAACUUCGGGAUAAGGAGCGCCACGGUUGGUGAACGUCCUCGCGACUGGAGCUGACUGUGGCCGCAGGGAGCCGGCCCAGGCGACUGUUUACCAAAAACAUAGGUCUCUGCCAACCCGUAAGGGGAUGUAUAGGGGCUGACGCCUGCCCAGUGCUGGAAGGUUAAGGGGAGAGGUUAACGCUUUGAACCGAAGCCCCAGUGAACGGCGGCCGUAACUAUAACGGUCCUAAGGUAGCGAAAUUCCUCGGGUAAGUUCCGACCCGCACGAAUGGCGUAACGAUCUGGGCACUGUCUCAACGAGGGACUCGGCGAAAUUGAAGUACCCGUGAAGAUGCGGGUUACCCGCACCAGGACAAAUAGACCCCGUGGAGCUUUACUGUAACUUGCCAUUGAUAGUGAGCUAGUGAUGCGUAGGAUAGGUGGGAGACUGUGAAUCUGGGCUUCCGGGCUCAGAGGAGUCAACGUUGAAAUACCACUCUUCACAUGUUUACUUUCUAACCUCUGAUCAAGCAGCGGGACAAUGGCUGGUGGGCAGUUUGACUGGGGCGGCCGCCUCCCAAAAGGUAACGGAGGCGCCUAAAGGUUCCCUCAGGGUGGAUGGAAAUCACCCGUCGCGUGCAUUGGCAUAAGGGAGCUUGACUGUAAGGCCAACAAGCCGAGCAGGGACGAAAGUCGAGCAAAGUGAUCUUACGGUUCCGAGUGGAAGGGCCGUGACUUAACGGAUAUAAGUUACCCCGGGGAUAACAGGCUUAUCUUGCCCAAGCGUUCACAGCGACGGCAAGGUUUGGCACCUCGAUGUCGGCUCGUCACAUCCUGGGGCUGGAGCAGGUCCCAAGGGUCCGGCUGAUCGCCGGUUAAAGUGGCACGCGAGCUGGGUUCAGAACGUCGUGAGACAGUUCGGCCUCUAUCCGGUGUGGGCGUAGGAAAAUUGAGAAGAGCUGCCCCUAGUACGAGAGGACCGGGGUGGACGAACCGCUGGUGUACCGGUUGUCCUGCCAAGGGCACUGCCGGGUAGCCAAGUUCGGAAGGGAUAAGCGCUGAAAGCAUCUAAGUGCGAAGCCCACUUCAAGAUUAGUUUUCCCAUCCGCAAGGAGUAAGACCACGGGUAGACCACCCGUUUGAUAGGCGGCAUGUGUAAGGGCAGCAAUGUCUUCAGCUAAGCCGUACUAAUGGUCGAGGGCUUGACCU